GACGAACGCUGGCGGCGUGCUUAACACAUGCAAGUCGAACGGUAAGGCCCUUCGGGGUACACGAGUGGCGAACGGGUGAGUAACACGUGGGUGAUCUGCCCUGCACUUCGGGAUAAGCCUGGGAAACUGGGUCUAAUACCGGAUAGGACCACUGCCUGCAUGGGUGGUGGUGGAAAGCUUUUGCGGUGUGGGAUGGGCCCGCGGCCUAUCAGCUUGUUGGUGGGGUGAUGGCCUACCAAGGCGACGACGGGUAGCCGGCCGGAGAGGGUGGCCGGGCACAGUGGGACUCGGACACGGCCCAGACUCCUACGGGAGGCAGCAGUGGGGAAUAGUGCACAAUGGGCGGAAGGCUGAGGCAGCGACGCCGCGUGAGGGAUGACGGCCUGCGGGUUGUAGACCUCUUUCAGCACCGACGGAGCGCAAGUGACGGUAGGUGCAGAAGAAGGACCGGCCAACUACGUGCCAGCAGCCGCGGUAA
rnacentral:rRNA from 1 species